rnacentral:rRNA from 1 species
GAUGAACGCUGGCGGCGUGCCUAAUACAUGCAAGUCGAGCGAACAGACGAGGAGCUUGCUCCUCUGACGUUAGCGGCGGACGGGUGAGUAACACGUGGAUAACCUACCUAUAAGACUGGGAUAACUUCGGGAAACCGGAGCUAAUACCGGAUAAUAUAUUGAACCGCAUUGUUCAAUAGUGAAAGACGGUUUUGCUGUCACUUAUAGAUGGCUCCGCGCCGCAUUAGCUAGUUGGUAAGGUAACGGCUUACCAAGGCAACGAUGCGUAGCCGACCGGAGAGGGUGAUCGGCCACACGGGAACUGAGACACGGUACAGACUCCUACGGGAGGCAGCAGUAGGGAAUCUUCCGCAAUGGGCGAAAGCGUGACGGAGCAACGCCGCGUGAGUGAUGAAGGUCUUCGGAUCGUAAAACUCUGUUAUUAGGGAAGAACAAAUGUGUAAGUAACUAUGCACGUCUUGACGGUAGCUAAUCAGAAAGCCACGGCUAACUACGUG